rnacentral:rRNA from 1 species
GGACUACUUGGGUAUCUAAUCCGGUUUGCUCCCCCAGCUUUCGUCCCUCACUGUCGGAGCCGUUCUGGUGAGAUACCUUCACCAUAGGUCAUCCCACCGGGAUUACAGGAUUUCACUCCUACCCCGGCAGUACCUCUCACCUCUCCCGGUCCCUAGAACCACAGUAUCCCCUGAACGCCCAUCAGUUAAGCCGAUGGAUUUCUCAAGGGACUUGUGAAUCAAGCUACGGACCCUUUAAGCCCAGUAAAAGCGGCCACCACUCGAGCCGCCGGUAUUACCGCGGCGGCUGGCACCGGUCUUACCCGGCCCUUUCUUCACCAGUUUUUUACACUGGUGGACAGCCACCCUAUGGUGGCACUCGGGGUUUCCUUAUCACGGUUGCCCGCAUUGUAAAGUUUUCGCGCCUGCUGCACCCCAUAGG